rnacentral:rRNA from 1 species
UACGAAGGGGGCUAGCGUUGCUCGGAAUCACUGGGCGUAAAGGGUGCGUAGGCGGGUCUUUAAGUCAGGGGUGAAAUCCUGGAGCUCAACUCCAGAACUGCCUUUGAUACUGAAGAUCUUGAGUCCGGGAGAGGUGAGUGGAACUGCGAGUGUAGAGGUGAAGUUCGUAGAUAUUCGCAAGAACACCAGUGGCGAAGGCGGCUCACUGGCCCGGUACUGACGCUGAGGCACGAAAGCGUGGGGAGCAAGCAGG